CCACUUGUUCAAAGAACUUUCAGCUAGUAUCUAAGGUAAUUAACUGAUAUAUCCCGCCAAUCCUAAUACAUACAAAUGAUUUUCUGUUAGAUUACAUUAUGCUGACAAUGUUAUGGGCUAAAUGAUAUUAUUAAGUUUUAACAUUAUUAAAGGUGUGCACUAAAAUCUUGAAAGUUGAUAAACCUCUCGGAAUCAGGCUGAGAAAAGAUCAAAAAGAGUUUGCGAAAUUCUGGAGUGGCGUCGUCAGCUUUGUUAUUCUGAAUUCAGAUAAUACAUAACGACAAAACACAGUGUAACAGUGUACAUAUCGACAGAAACCCUCACCGAAUCCAACAGUGGUGUUUUCUAAGGGCCGGGGCUAUAUAAAGACCUGAAAGUGGUCCCUAUUCACUUGCGUGUGGCCGAUUGUUGCGUUGUAUUGAACACACCGCUUUUGCCUUGGUGGGUGCGAAAAUCGUUGGCUGGAAGCUAUAGGGCCGGGUGGAUAUGCUUUUACGGCCAGACAAGUGGGUCGCUUUAUCCGACCGCACAGCCAACACUGGCGCUCUCGUGAUUUGUGCAGUGGGAACCAGUUAUCGAUAGUUGGCUGAUAUUCUAUAACUUUCUGUGUACCCUGGUGAGGUUUGUGAAUAUAUGUGCGCGUUGAUUUCGAGACCCUUUUCGGGGUUUUGUAAUUUUUCUUUUCAAGUUUGGAUCGUUCGGCUUUGUUCACUUUUCUUUCCCCGCGUACUGGUCGACCGUUUCUAAAGGACGACGUGAAAAGAAAAAAGAAAAUGGACAUACGUAUAUAAGCUUGCCGCACUCCAUGUUAUGUUAGUGACAGUGAAUACCGUUAGACAUCACACUAACAGUGCGUUCAGUCUCUUUCUGAAAAUGUGACGUUGUUUCUGGCGGUUUUGUUCAGUGAAAAGUGAGCGUUCCUGAAGUGACAGCUGCCUUUGAAAACACUGAAUACCGAUACAAUUCGUUCUGAACUUCUUGUGUGAUAAAAGUGCAACAUUCUCCGAGUUCUCGAUAAAGUGUGGGAAAAACGCAGCGUAGUGAUAAGAGAGGCCGGAUCAGAAGGCUCACAAUCCUGCCAGCGGACGGAUCUACUCAAUGACAUGUGAUAUUCUACCAUAUCAACCGCUCGAUUGAGACUCGGAAUCUACUCGCUGACCCCAGCGGCGUAGUAAAACUUGUAAUCCAAUCCCCCCCCCCCUCUUCUUACUUUCCAUCAAUGUCAAGUCGACUCAAGACGUGUUGACCAGUGUAACUGACCGCUGCUACAACAACAUGAUCGUUGACGGCGAGCUAUAACUCAGCGGGGGGUCUUGAAAUAGUGAACUGAUAGCAAGUGGAUAUCUCAAAGUGAUAUCGCGGAAUUCUUUAGAGGACUGAUUAUCUCUCAAAAGCGAUACCACGGAUUUCCUAACUGGAUUCACCACAGAUAAGACUACAUGUAUAACAAUUUGAUUGUCUUGAUUCAGUAGCUUUAGUUGGAAUUUCACGGCCUUUGCAACAUAAAUAGGUCAUAUAAGUGACGGAGAUUAACAUACCAAAGGAAAAAAGAAA
rnacentral:lncRNA from 1 species